rnacentral:ncRNA from 1 species
GCAAAAUUGUUGAAAAGCAAUGACGCAAAGCCAAGGGUCUAAGCUUAGUUAAGUAUGACAGCCGGUUGCCGAA